rnacentral:rRNA from 1 species
CCAGCAGCCGCGACGGGAGGCAGCAGUAAGGAAUAUUGGUCAAUGGAGGGAACUCUGAACCAGCCAUGCCGCGUGCAGGAUGACUGCCCUAUGGGUUGUAAACUGCUUUUGUCCAGGAAUAACCACCACUACGUGUAGUGGCUUGAAUGUACUGGAAGAAUAAGGAUCGGCUAACUCCGUGCCAGCAGCCGCGGUAAUAAU